GAUGAACGCUAGCGGCAGGCUUAAUACAUGCAAGUCGAGGGGCAGCACAGGUAGCAAUACUGGGUGGCGACCGGCAAACGGGUGCGGAACACGUACGCAACCUUCCUUUAAGUGGGGGAUAGCCCAGGGAAACUUGGAUUAAUACCCCUUAACAUUAUGAGAUGGCAUCAUUUUAUAAUUAAAGCUCCGGCGCUUAAAGAUGGGCGUGCGCCUGCUUAGGUAGUUGGCGGGGUAACAGCCCACCAAGCCUACGAUCAGUAACUGGUGUGAGGGAACGACCAGUCACGCGGGCACUGAGGCACCGGACCGAGGCCUAGGGGGGGCAGCAGUAAGGAAUAUUGGUCCAUGGACGUAAGUCUGAACCAGCCAUGCCGCUGGGAGGAUGACGGCCCUCUGGGUUGUAAACUCCUUUUAUCUGGGAAGAAAUGCAGAUUUGCUAAUCUGGUUGACGGUACCAGAGGAAUAAGCACCGGCUAACUCCGUGCCAGCCACCGCCGUAA
rnacentral:rRNA from 1 species